UCGGUGAAGCCGGGAAAACAGCGGCUAGUUUGGGAGGGAAGAAAACCCUUAGGGAAAAACCCAGAGCCUGCACACAUUCCGACCGGAGAAUCCUGGAGCCCAGCUUGGAGGGUGAGAGGUGGGGAGGAUUCGAAG
ensembl:misc_RNA